AGAGUUUGAUCAUGGCUCAGAAUCAACGCUGGCGGCGUGCCUAACACAUGCAAGUCGAACGCGGUUAUCCAGCAAUGGAUAACUGAGUGGCAAACGGGUGAGUAACACGUGGGUGACCUACCUUCGAGUGGGGGAUAACGUCCCGAAAGGGACGCUAAUACCGCAUAACAUCCUGCUUUUGAACAGGCGGAGAUCAAAGCCGGGGAUCGCAAGACCUGGCGCUUGAUGAGGGGCCCGCGUCUGAUUAGCUAGUUGGUGAGGUAACGGCCCACCAAGGCGACGAUCAGUAUCCGGCCUGAGAGGGCGGACGGACACACUGGGACUGAGACACGGCCCAGACUCCUACGGGAGGCAGCAGUGGGGAAUUGUUCACAAUGGGCGCAAGCCUGAUGACGCAACGCCGCGUGGAGGAUGAAGGUCUUCGGAUUGUAAACUCCUGUUGCUCGGGACGAAAAGCCUCGACCUAAUACGUCGAGGUCUGACGGUACCGAGUGAGGAAGCCCCGGCUAACUCUGUGCCAGCAACCGCGGUA
rnacentral:rRNA from 1 species